UGGGGAAUUUUGCACAAUGGGGGAAACCCUGAUGCAGCGACGCCGCGUGAUUUAGAAGGCCUUCGGGUUGUAAAAAUCUUUUUUACGGGAUGAAAAUGACAGUACCGUAAGAAUUAGGUCCGGCUAAAUACGUGCCAGCAGCCGCGGUAAUACGUAUGGACCGAGCGUUGUCCGGAAUCAUUGGGCGUAAAGGGUACGUAGGCGGCCUAGUAAGUUAGAAGUUAAAGAAUAUAGCUCAACUAUAUAAAGCUUUUAAAACUGCUAGGCUUGAGAGAUGGAAGGGAAAGUGGAAUUCCUAGUGUAGCGGUGAAAUGCGCAGAUAUUAGGAAGAAUACCGGUGGCGAAGGCGACUUUCUGGUCAUCAUCUGACGCUGAGGUACGAAAGCGUGGGUAGCAAACAGG
rnacentral:rRNA from 1 species